GACGAACGCUGGCGGCGUGCCUAAUACAUGCAAGUAGAACGCUGAAGGAGGAGCUUGCUUCUCUGGAUGAGUUGCGAACGGGUGAGUAACACGUAGGUAACCUGCCUGGUAGCGGGGGAUAACUAUUGGAAACGAUAGCUAAUACCGCAUAAUAGCAGUUGUUGCAUGACAACUGUUUGAAAGGUGCAAUUGCACCACUACCAGAUGGACCUGCGUUGGAUUAGCUAGUUGGUGGGGUAACGGCUCACCAAGGCGAGGAUACAUAGCCGACCUGGGAGGGUGAUCGGCCAGACUGGGACUGAGACACGGCCCAGACUCCUACGGGAGGCAGCAGUAGGGAAUCUUCGGCAAUGGACGGAAGUCUGACCGAGCAACGCCGCGUGAGUGAAGAAGGUUGUCGGAUCGUAAAGCUCUGUUGUAAGAGAAGAACGAGUGUGAGAGUGGAAAGUUCACACUGUGACGGUAUCUGACCAGAAAGGGACGGCUAACUACGUG
rnacentral:rRNA from 1 species